rnacentral:rRNA from 1 species
ACGGCGAGUGAAGCGGCAACAGCUCAAAUUUGAAAUCUGGCGUCUUUGGCGUCCGAGUUGUAAUUUGCAGAGGGCGCUUUGGCAUUGGCAGCGGUCCAAGUUCCUUGGAACAGGACGUCACAGAGGGUGAGAAUCCCGUACGUGGUCGCUAGCCUUUACCGUGUAAAGCCCCUUCGACGAGUCGAGUUGUUUGGGAAUGCAGCUCUAAAUGGGAGGUAAAUUUCUUCUAAAGCUAAAUACUGGCCAGAGACCGAUAGCGCACAAGUAGAGUGAUCGAAAGAUGAAAAGCACUUUGGAAAGAGAGUUAAAAAGCACGUGAAAUUGUUGAAAGGGAAGCGCUUGCAGCCAGACUUGCCUGUAGUUGCUCAUCCGGGUUUUUACCCGGUGCACUCUUCUAUAGGCAGGCCAGCAUCAGUUUGGGCGGUUGGAUAAAGGUCUCUGUCAUGUACCUCUCUUCGGGGAGAACUUAUAGGGGAGACGACAUGCAACCAGCCUGGACUGAGGUCCGCGCAUCUGCUAGGAUGCUGGCGUAAUGGCUGUAAGCGGCCCGUCUUGAAACACGGACCAAGGAGUCUAACAUCUAUGCGAGUGUUUGGGUGUCAAGCCCGAGCGCGUAAUGAAAGUGAACGGAGGUGGGAACCUUUCGGGGUGCACCAUCGACCGAUCCUGAUGUCUUCGGAUGGAUUUGAGUAAGAGCAUAGCUGUUGGGACCCGAAAGAUGGUGAACUAUGCUUGAAUAGGGUGAAGCCAGAGGAAACUCUGGUGGAGGCUCGCAGCGGUUCUGACGUGCAAAUCGAUCGUCAAAUUUGGGCAUAGGGGCGAAAGACUAAUCGAACUAUCUAGUAGUGGGUUCCUGCCGAAGUUUCCCUCAGGAUAGCAG